AAACCAGCACCUCAAGUGGUCAGGAGGAUUAUUGGGCCUAAAGCAUCCGUAGCCUGUUCUGUAAGUUUUCGGUUAAAUCUGUACGCUCAACGUACAGGCUGCCGGGAAUACUGCAGAGCUAGGGAGUGGGAGAGGUAGACGGUACUCGGGAGGAAGUGGUAAAAUGCUUUGAUCUUUCGAUGACCACCUGUGGCGAAGGCGGUCUACCAGAACACGUCCGACGGUGAGGGAUGAAAGCUGGGGGAGCAAACCGGAUUAGAAACCCCAGUAGUCC
rnacentral:rRNA from 1 species